rnacentral:rRNA from 1 species
UACGUAGGGGGCUAGCGUUAUCCGGAAUUACUGGGCGUAAAGGGUGCGUAGGUGGUUUCUUAAGUCAGAGGUGAAAGGCUACGGCUCAACCGUAGUAAGCCUUUGAAACUGGGAAACUUGAGUGCAGGAGAGGAGAGUGGAAUUCCCAGUGUAGAGGUGAAAUUCGUAGAUAUUGGGAAGAACACCGGUGGCGAAGGCGGCGACCUGGUCCGAUACUGACGCUGAGGCGCGAAAGCGUGGGGAGCAAACAGG